rfam:TPA: Bos taurus chromosome X, whole genome shotgun sequence.
UCCUUGAUAGCUCAGUUGGUAAAGAAUCUGCCUGCAAUGCAGGAGACCCCGGUUCGAUUUCUGGGUCAGGAAG